rnacentral:rRNA from 1 species
CAGUCGCCGCGGUAAUACGGAGGGGGCUAGCGUUGUUCGGAAUUACUGGGCGUAAAGCGCACGUAGGCGGCUUUGUAAGUCAGAGGUGAAAGCCCGGGGCUCAACCCCGGAAUUGCCUUUGAGACUGCAUCGCUUGAAUCCAGGAGAGGUGAGUGGAAUUCCGAGUGUAGAGGUGAAAUUCGUAGAUAUUCGGAAGAACACCAGUGGCGAAGGCGGCUCACUGGACUGGUAUUGACGCUGAGGUGCGAAAGCGUGGGGAGCAAACAGGAUUAGAUACCCCAGUAGUCCCUGUCUCUUAUAC